AACGAACGCUGGCGGCAUGCCUAACACAUGCAAGUCGAACGCGUGGAGCGAUCUGCGCGUGGCGCACGGGUGAGUAACGCGUGGGAACCUGCCCUUGGGUGCGGGAUAACCCGGCGAAAGCCGGGCUAAUACCGCCUACGCCCUGCGGGGGAAAGAUUUAUCGCCCAAGGAGGGGCCCGCGUCGGAUUAGCUAGUUGGUGAGGUAAUGGCUCACCAAGGCGAUGAUCCGUAGCUGGUCUGAGAGGAUGAUCAGCCACACUGGGACUGAGACACGGCCCAGACUCCGACGGGAGGCAGCAGUGGGGAAUAUUGGACAAUGGGGGCAACCCUGAUCCAGCGAUGCCGCGUGGGUGAUGAAGGCCUUCGGGUUGUAAAGCCCUUUCGGCGGGGACGAUGAUGACGGUACCUGGAGAAUAAGCCCCGGCAAACUUCGUGCCAGCCGCCGCGGUAACAC
rnacentral:rRNA from 1 species